GGGCCAUAGCUCAGUGGUGUGGCAUCUGCUUUCCAUGCAGAAAGUCCCAGGUCCAGUCCCUGGCAUCUCCA